CUUUACUGUAGCCUGGUAUUGGGUUCGGGCUUUGACUGCGCAGGAUAGGUGGGAGACUAUGAAGCUGCCCUUGUGGGGGCAGUGGAGUCAUCAGUGAGAUACCACUCUGUCAAGGCUAGAAUUCUAACCGUCUGCCGUUAUCCGGCGACGGAACAGUAUCAGGUGGGCAGUUUGACUGGGGCGGUCGCCUCCUAAAUGGUAACGGAGGCGCGCAAAGGAUCCCUCAGGCUGGUUGGAAAUCAGCCGAAGAGUGUAAAGGCAGGAGGGAGCUUGACUGCAAGAGCAACAACUCAAGCAGGGACGAAAGUCGGCCUUAGUGAUCCGACGGCGCUGAGUGGAAGGGCCGUCGCUCAACGGAUAAAAGUUA
rnacentral:rRNA from 1 species